rnacentral:rRNA from 1 species
CACGUAGGGGGCAAGCGUUGUCCGGAUUUAUUGGGCGUAAAGAGCUCGUAGGUGGUUCGGUAAGUCAGGUGUGAAACCUCCAGGCUCAACCUGGAGACGCCACUUGAUACUGCUGUGACUGGAGUCCGGUAGGGGAGCGUGGAAUUCCUGGUGUAGCGGUGAAAUGCGCAGAUAUCAGGAGGAACACCAGCGGCGAAGGCGGCGCUCUGGGCCGGUGCUGACACUGAGGAGCGAAAGCGUGGGUAGCAAACAGG